rnacentral:lncRNA from 1 species
AUAGAAUCAUGAGGGUCCUUAUAAGGGAAAGAAAGAGGCAGGAGAGUGAGAGGAGGGGAUGUGAUUGCUGACUGGUACGGCCAAACAAGCCAAGGAAUGUGGGCAGCCUCUAGACUCCAGAAAAGGCAAGGAAGCAGAUUCUCCUCUGGGGCCUCCAGAGGGACUGCAGCCCUGCAGACACGGUGAUCUUAGCUCAGAGAGCUCCAUUUUGACUUCUGACCCCAGAAUUGUAAGAUAAUAAAUCUGUAUUGUUUUAAGCCAAUAAUUGUAUGGUAGUUUGCUACAACAGCCAUAGGAAACUAAUACAAGUACAUUAAGCAAACUUUAUUCAGUCUUUAAUACUUCCGAAUCUUGUAGCCCCUCAGGAACAUCAUUAUGAGAAUCCGCUAUUAAUGAACUGUAGGUGAACAGACACGCUGGCUAAUGAGGCUUUUCUAUUCAGCAGUCUGAAUGAGCCCGUUUUUAUUACAGAAGCUUUAUAAGCACUAAGAAUUGCUUAAUCAGGGUUGGGUGAGAUUAAAUUAGGAUAUGUCUCCUUAAGGAGGUCUUUAGGUGAACUUUAAAGGAGAUAGAAGAGGCCCCCUGAAAAGGAGAUGGUGGAGACUUCAAGAGGAUCUGGAAAAAUCCUAAGAGCAGGGAAAAUGGGCAGUUACUGGCAAUUUGAGCUACACACAUAUUAUCACUUACAAUUUCUACAGAGAAGAAAUUUGAGAGUCAGAGACAAAGUGAACUGCCCAGAAAGACAAAAUUCACUGCCACAGAGGUAGAGGUGGACUGGCAUUCAGCAUUCUUGUGUCUUGAACUCUCCUUCCCUCUACAGUAAUGUUCUCAACCAUCCGGACUCCUGGUGUUCUCAAGCCACCCAUUUCUCUUACUUUGGCAAAACUUCCUCAUUAUUAUGAAACGUGAAAGAUAAAAAUGAGAAAAAUCACAUGAAAUCUGCUCUCGGCUUAACAAAUAACAAGGCCCAUUCUAACCUGUGUGCUUCUGGCAUCAGUCACACAAACGGAAACUGAUCUGACUGUAAGAAGGGGCCAAGGAUGAAGGAGCGAAAAGAGCGCCUUUUCUCAACACUGGUUUGAAAGUAAAAGUUGAAAGGGGAAAGACGCCUGACUCAGCGCUCCGGCAACCCCCUGCCGGGCUGUGCUGCUGACCGCGCCCCUCGCCCAGCAGGACUGCGGCUGCGGCUGCCCCGGGAGCGACCCGGCUCCGCAGCCCAGCUACGGGGUCAGCGCGAGAGCAGCACGCCGAGAGCCGGCGGGCUGCCUCCGGCCCCUCCCCGGCAGAGGCCCCAGGAGCGCCUCCGCCUCGCGCGCAUGCCCAGCCGG